rnacentral:ncRNA from 1 species
UUUCCUCCACAAGGUUCGUCCACGGAGGGUGAGUCAGGGCCUAAGAACAGGCCGAAAGGCGUAGUCGAUGGACAACAUGUCAAUAUUCCUGUACUACCCCUUGUUGGUACGGGGGGACAGAGGAGGCUAGUGAUAGUCGCCUAGAGGGGGGGGGGGUGAAUAGGGCGAAACUGAA